rnacentral:sRNA from 2 species
CUCUCUCUGUUACUUGUUUUCUUGUUUUCCUCGAUGAACCCUUGUAUACUAGUUCAGUAUGUUGAGAAGGGUUGCUCGUGGCGUAUCUUCGCUUUUGCCUUGAGCAUUUUAUACUAGGGAUGCAAGGUGUGAAGCAGGGUAGAGUCAAGUUAAUUGCUAAAGUAACUCAUGGUUACCAUUCGCGAACUGUGCAGCCUAGUGGCGGAUGAAAGGUUUACACGUCUAACAAGUUAGUAUAUGAGACCUUAAUUCCGGAAGGGCUUAUGGUCCGCAUCCGCGGGAAUGAGAUCUAUCUCAGUGAGUCAGAGAAGUACGGCGGCAUGACGAACUAUGGAGAUACCCUACUUCUAGAGAAUAGUGUUUUACAGUGGCUUCGGAACUGGCCAGGCUACUUUCACCUCCUCAAGCAACAAGUUAUAGCGUGUGAAACGUGCGGACGAGUAGCACGGAACACUUUCUUUUCACCAAGCGAGUGCUCGAACCCGAAUGCUUCGUAUAGGUAAGGGCUGGAAAGCCUGUGGAAAUGGUCAAAGCAAAACUGCAAAUGUCUG